CUCCUUGCAGCUCAGUGGUAGAGUACCGGUGCGAAAACCAGGAGCCCGGGUUCGAUUCCCGGCAAGGGAG
rnacentral:tRNA from 1 species